rnacentral:rRNA from 1 species
AUGGAGGCGAGGUCGGCCUGGCAGGGGUGGUCUCCGACGAGGCCGGCCGGCGACGAGGGACUUGAGGAGCUCCUCUCCUUUGGAUUCGAGCAGGGCAGGGAGGAAGAAAACGCAUCGGAUAAGAGGCGGCGGCUGCGGGAUGCCUCGGGCUCCUCUGGUUCGAUGCGCAGCAGAUGCGGGAGGCGAGACGAGGUUGGAUUGGUGGAUCGAGGGGAAGCAGAGGCUGUCGCUGGUUGGCUGGUUCGCAGAACGAGGGGAGUUAGAGGAUCGGAUCUGGGAGGAUCCCAAGGUGGAUGCGGGAGGCUGUAG